UACAGAGGGUGCAAGCGUUGUUCGGAAUUAUUGGGCGUAAAGCGCGUGUAGGCGGCUUUGCAAGUCAGGUGUGAAAGCCCCGAGCUUAACUCGGGAAUUGCAUCUGAAACUGCUGUGCUUGAGUUCUGGAGGGGGUAGUGGAAUUCCCAGUGUAGCGGUGAAAUGCGUAGAUAUUGGGAGGAACACCUGCGGCGAAGGCGGCUACCUGGACAGAAACUGACGCUGAGGCGCGAAAGCUAGGGGAGCGAACGGG
rnacentral:rRNA from 1 species